CGUGUUGCUUGAUAGUGCAGCUCUAAGUGGGUGGUAAGCUCCAUCUAAGGCUAAAUAUGACCACGAGACCGAUAGCGAACAAGUACCGUGAGGGAAAGUUGAAAAGGACUUUGAAGAGAGAGUUCAAGAGUACGUGAAACCGUUCAGGGGUAAACCUGAGAAAUCCAAAAGAUCGAAUGGAGAGAUUCAGCGUCAGUUGGAUUGGCUCACGUGCGACUCGUGAUGCCCGCGCGAUACGUCGCGUGGCACGCGGUUGCUGCGUCGUGUCCGAUCUCGCCGGCGUGCACUUCUCUCCUAGUAGGACGUCGCAACCCGUUGGGCGUCGGUCACGGCCCGUUUGGUCGACUGUUUCGCGCGUUCACGCGCGUGGUACAGACCUUCGGUCGCCCGACCGACCGCUCGGCGGUAAUACAUGCACAAAUAAAUUGAGUAACGAGCCGCAUUUGAAUGCGUUCGGCUGGUCGUUCGGUGGUAUUCCGCUCGGAUUUUAACGGACCUGGUGCCGUUGUCGAGCGCGCGGUGCUUCUCGAAUCGACUUUGUCCUCGAACCGGCUCUGUUUUUUGUACUCUACGUUGGCGAUGCUUUUGCUUUGGAUACUUUCAGGACCCGUCUUGAAACACGGACCAAGGAGUCUAACAUGUACGCGAGUCAUUGGGACUUUGUUUUGAAUAGCUAAGCCUAAAGGCGCAAUGAAAGUAAAAAUUUAAAAGGGAGGAUGGCACGCGUUACGAUGCGUGCUCGCACUCCCGGGGCGUCUCAUGCACGUUUUUUUUUUUAAUCGAAAAUUAAUGAGCAGAGGCGCACCAAGAGCGUACACGUUGGGACCCGAAAGAUGGUGAACUAUGCCUGGUCAGGACGAAGUCAGGGGAAACCCUGAUGGAGGUCCGUAGCGAUUCUGACGUGCAAAUCGAUCGUCGGAACUGGGUAUAGGGGCGAAAGACUAAUCGAACCAUCUAGUAGCUGGUUCCUUCCGA
rnacentral:rRNA from 1 species